CCGUCUUCUUCCGAGGUCCAUGGCGCACGCAGUGACUUCCCCUGUGCGAUAUAGCAGACAGUUACGUGAUAGUAAAGAUAGUUAUGGAGUGCAACAGUGUUAUGAAGUAAAAAAAAUUGCGGUAAUACAGAAAGCUCAACCGAAAGAAAGAACAAAAAAGGAAUGAAGUUAUAUAGGUACAAGGAAGGAAGAACCAGAACUGGAGCCCUGAAUGGACCAGUACAUAUGAUGAUAACACUGCGAACACUUGCUCCCCUUUGCCUGACUUAAGCUUCGACCAUGAAGGUACAGAAGUAUGUUCCUCCAAAAUGUCAAGAAGACUACAUAGUGCCAUGUCCCAGACCGCACAAUCAUCAGCAGGGAAGGUUAUGCUGUUUCUCUUUUGGGACGAUAAAGGCGUCAUCUUGGAGCACUACAUGCCUAGAGGGACAGAUCUCCUAAAAAAUCAUCUUCAGCCUGCAAUCAAAUCAAAGCGACUUGGAUUGCUGUCCACAGGUAUCCUUUUGCAACAUGACAAUGCAAGGCCCCAUACUGCCCAUACAACAGUUGCGACAAUCAAUGACCUGCAUAUUGAGUGUCCUCCUCAUCUGGCAUACUCACCAGACCUUGGCCCAAGUGAUUUCCAUGUUUGGACCACUCAAAGAAGCAAUGGGAGGAAAGACGUU